CUGGGAAAGCUUUCGCGGUAUGGGAUGGGGUCGCGUCCUAUCAGCUUGACGGCGGGGUAACGGCCCACCGUGGCUUCGACGGGUAGCCGGCCUGAGAGGGCGACCGGCCACAUUGGGACUGAGAUACGGCCCAGACUCCUACGGGAGGCAGCAGUGGGGAAUAUUGCACAAUGGGCGCAAGCCUGAUGCAGCGACGCCGCGUGAGGGAUGGAGGCCUUCGGGUUGUAAACCUCUUUUAUCGGGGAGCAAGCGAGAGUGAGUUUACCCGUUGAAUAAGCACCGGCUAACUACGUGCCAGCAGCCGCGGUAAUACGUAGGGUGCAAGCGUUAUCCGGAAUUAUUGGGCGUAAAGGGCUCGUAGGCGGUUCGUCGCGUCCGGUGUGAAAGUCCAUCGCUUAACGGUGGAUCCGCGCCGGGUACGGGCGGG
rnacentral:rRNA from 1 species